GAAAUGCGAUAAGUAAUGUGAAUUGCAGAAUUCAGUGUAUCAUCGAAUCUUUGAACGCACAUUGCGCCCACCUGCACUCUGGCGGGCAUGCCUGUUCGAGCGUCAUUCCAAUCAUCAAGCCCCCGGGCUUGCGUUGGGGAACUGCGGCUGCCCGCAGGCCCUGAAAACCAGUGGCGGGCUCGCUGUCACCCCGGUCGUAGUAGAAUCAUCUCGUCCAGGGCGUGGCUGCGGGCUCCGGCCGUUAAACCUACUCAAACCCAAAGGUUCACCUCGGAUCAGGUAGGAAUACCCGCUUAACUUAA
rnacentral:misc_RNA from 1 species